rnacentral:rRNA from 1 species
UACGUAGGGUGCAAGCGUUGUCCGGAAUCAUUGGGCGUAAAGCGCGCGUAGGUGGCCUCAUAAGUCCGCUGUGAAAGUCAAAGGCUCAACCUUUGAAAGCCGGUGGAUACUGUGAGGCUAGAGUACGGAAGAGGCGAGUGGAAUUCCUGGUGUAGCGGUGGAAUGCGCAGAUAUCAGGAGGAACACCAAUAGCGAAGGCAGCUCGCUGGGACGUUACUGACACUGAGGCGCGAAAGCGUGGGGAGCGAACAGG